UGAUUUUCCAUUUUACGAUACUUAAAUCCAAAUAAAUGAGAUUUUCUCAUUUGUAGCGAGGUCAAACCCACCAAGAGCUCCACACGACCCUUCGUGCCUGCGACUCUCUUAGCUCCAAGACUUUAGGUGAUGUCACGAUGCUACAAUUCCGGUUUCGUGAUUUUUGGAAGCUUAUGCCGCGAGCUGCGACAAUCUGUACCGAAAUCGGCCUUUUCUUCAAUAUCUUCGCAUAGCCUCGUCGUAUCGCCGAACCGACUUCGCCAACUCAUCAGAAAACCUAGCAAUUAGGUUUAUACAUGCUCAAUUUAGAUCAAACCUCUACAUAUUGCAAAACCCCAAUUUGAGCCUUAACAUGCUACUAUUGCAAGAAAUCACCAAAUUGGAACUUGAUUCAUGCAAUUAACAUGUUAUUAGCAUCUAGGGAGUUCUCUAAACCCAUUCCUAGAGCAUACGAAUCAUUCCUUAGCAAUCUAUCAUAGUUACUACCAAAGCUUACCUCCAAAGCUUUCUCUAAUAGAGAGGAAGAAGAUGAAAGCUUGAGCUCCAAGCUACUCUCCAACUUUCAAGAACUCUACUCCAACUUCUUCUCCAAUUAAUCCUUUUUUGUGGAGAGAUUAGAAGAGAAAAGGAGUGAGGGGUGAGAACUAGAGAGAAAGAGAGAAAAGGAGAAAAGAAACUUGCUCUCCAAGUCUCUCUCGGGUUGGGCACAAAUGAGAAAAAGAGUGCAAGUUCACAUAUAUAUACUCCCAAAAUACUAUUCACAUCAGAUUGUGGCUCAAGUACAGAUAUUUUUCGUCUGCCCUUCAGAACGUCCGAUUGAGCUCAAACUUGGCAGUCACGAUCAGUUUAACCUUACUUAAUGAAAGAAAUUUUAAUCUUUCAGUUUCGACCCCGUUUGGUCACCGAAAGCUGUACCGAACUGUAAUCUUUAUCAGAUAACUGUCGGAUUUUAUUUUCCACCUUCCGGGUGUCAGAAUGGCAUGAAACUUUAAAUCUAGCCUCAUAAAAAUAAUCCUAACGUAUUCGCAAAUUUUUGAAAUUUUCUGACACCGUGCAUUUUCUGCUAAAAUAUCAGCCCGGUCUCACACAGAAAAUUCUCAAUCUUCUAUUUUCACUCCGAUUUCCGCACGAGUCAAUCCUGACGUAUAAUUUACUUGUCUAAGUCCAAUAAAAAUAGUAUCUCAUACUAUUUUUUAUUUAUAUUCACUUUUAAAAAAAAAUUCGGUAUGCUACAGUUGGCAAGGCAAGCACCGAGGUCGACGUCAACCGGUUCUUUAACUCCUCAAAGCUUCGAUCGCAGUCGUCGCUCCACACGUACUUUACUC
rnacentral:lncRNA from 1 species